GACCUUCUGGCAAGACACUGCCAGUCCGUGACCUCACUGUGGUCGGUCGCUUCCGGUCUCAGGAACGCUGGUCCGUCUCGCUCCCGUUGACCUGGAAAUUUCAAUAUUUGAUUCUCAUUGUUAAUGGACAGAGCGUUGAGCAAAUCGACUUCAAUCACUCAAUCAUUUUUUUUGUCGUUGAUAGUCCGUUGAUAGUUAUUAGAUGGUUAAUUUCAUUAGUGAUUAGAUUGAAUUCAUUUUUACAUCCGCUCAUAAAAGUUUCCCCGUCUCAGUCGUAGAAAUAACAGAAGCACGUUCUUUGCCCAAGGUGCCCCGCUCUUUGUCUCCUGAAGGCAACCUUUCAAUGACAAUCCCGUGACUCAGUCUCGUCCCUUCUCGACCCCCCCCCACACACACCCCACCCGCCUGUCACAUGACUUCCCCAAUCACCCAAAUGAACCUCCCCCCCCCCAUGCACCUCCAUCACCAACCAACCAAAUCCUCGUGACCUCUGAUCCAUCAUCAUCACGUGACCUGUGAACCAACCACCUCCACCACCAACGUGACUACUGAACCGCUACUACUACUACUUUAUCGCUGUUGCAAACUUGGGGUUUCUAAGCGGCAUCCCUUGCAACAUUUCUGAGUGCAAUGCCCUUGGAAAUCCCAAAUAUGCUCGGCCUGGCGACAAGGACGUUGCGAAAUCACUUUGACUAAAUAUUGACAACCACGACCCACUUGAUGACGACGACGACGACCUCCAGUCUUCCACGACUGCCUUUCCCUCCGACCUCGACGAGUUCUCCGGGAAGGGAGAGGGCAGAGAGGUCGUCCCGAUCUCCGAGGCUGAGACAUUUGCCCGGAGGAGCCAGCGAGACAAGGAUCGGAAGAGGAAGGAAUCGGGAGGACGAAGCACACGAAAUGGAGAAGAAUGUGAACGGAGAGAGGAAAUAAGAGAAAGGAAAAGAUAGAAGAGGGUCGUCAGUAACAUAGAUUAAAAAAUAAAAAAUAAAUAAACACAGGAGUGGACGGCGUUCACAAUAACAAUAGAAGACAUCUUUUCAUGCAAUUACGCGUCCUGGAUAGUUGAAUGUUGAGACUGAAUGAUAUAAUUUAUAAUUGAAGAUAUGUUGUUACAAAGUACAAAUAUAUAUGUCUAAAUGA